AAGGAUUAUAAAUCAUUUCCACAGUAUUUUCCACACAAACAAACACACACCAGACAAUAAAUCAAAGGGAGAAAACUGUCAUUUGGCGCCAGCAACCACCGUAAAGACAAUUUUUUGAGAUAUUCUCACAUGGCCCUUUGUCUUGGGGAGAAUCAGGCAGCACAGGAGUUCGGGCUGGCUGCCGCUACCUUUUUACAAUAAUGCGCGUUGGCAGCUCCAGCUCCAGCAACGGCUCCAGCAAGGGCUCCAGCAAGGGCUCCAGCCCCCCCGAGUACUUGUAAAUUGUCGAUAAGCGCAUCGAUAGCUGCCCUGCACCUGACCAUAAAUCACGGUCUUUCUUUCGAAGCGCUCUUAUCAGGAGCUGCCCUACAUGCGCCCUACAUGCGAUAAGCGAAACGCACACAAAGAGAGAACUUUUUGCCAUCCACUCGUAAAAAGAUAGCGAGCGGGUCGCUGGGACGAGGGACGCAGGGACGCAGGGACGCAAGGACGGAGAAAAGGUGCUGGCUGACUGCCUUUUUAAUUGAUUGCUCUCGGCCUCAUCCAAUGUCUUGCAUUAUUAUCACAACAGGGCAAUCUCGCUUUGGAAUACAACAAGGGAACAACAGCAAACACGAUAAAUAACAGCUCGCAGCGGGUACCAGAGAGGCCGACUCGCGACCCUUUCUAGGGUCUGGUUCUGGGUAGGGGUAUGGGCAUCUUCUUGCUGCUUCGGUCCACACUACGUGCCCGGGCUGCCCAAGGUUUGGGCCAUAAAGGCUGCCAUAAUGAACCCUUUCUCCCCUCGCCAGCCCGUCUCUGGACCGUCUCUGGAUCGGGUGCGAUAAACAUCAAGCAUCGUUAGUCUUUCACUCCGUCUUUGAGACCAGUCUCGAGCUCCAACUCAAGCCCCAUCUCCAUUUCCAUCUGGGUUCUUGUUUUGAUUGCCAGUCUUGCCUCUCUCUGUCUCAAGAGAGAAAGAGAAAGAGAGAGGGGCAGAUCGGGGUGGAUUCUCUGUGGGAUAACGAGCUUGUACUUGGGCUAUCGAUUAAGCGAUUCCAAUCGCCUGGAUCCGACCAUUUUCACUUAUCCACCGGCUCCAGCAGGAAGCGCGUUAUUAAGUGUUUUAUAAUUUGCUCUACCAGACUCCUUCUGGUUGCUCCAAAAAGUUCAUCAACUUAAUUUUGUUUACAAAUUACAGACACUUGGGGCAUGGAAGGAAAGGAGGAAGAGAUAAAACUGUCUUCUGCCUGCGGCUUAGUCAGCUGUCAGCACUUGAUAGUUGGCUGAAGGCCCUGCCCCUGCCCCGCCCCUACCCAGAAACCAGAUCGAGCCACACCCAGGGAUGGAGCCACCAACAUAUGUGUCGUCAUUCCCUUUCGUCGCUGGCAUUAUUUUGACAGUUCAUUUGUCACAUCUCUUGAUUUGACGGAGCUGCGGUCGCGGUCGCGGUCUGGUCGGAUCUGGUCUGGUUCUGGUUCUGGUGUUGGUGCAGAAUAGGAGCAGGGUAGCAUCCAACAGAACAAUAAGCCCUUAUCGCCCCUACCGCUCUUGCCAGAUGUGUGAAAAUCGCCAGUCACGUCACCAUUUUUCUGCCACUUGAAUGCAGGAAAAAGGCGUGUCGCGGCCCUUGAUCACAAAGGAAAUCUUAAUUGAAGUUUAACAACAGUUCACGUCUUCAUAUGCCCCUGUGAAGGGACUUUUCCGUAAACGCAUUUAAUGCAUUCCCCAAAAUCGCAGCCACACUGCCAGUCCCUCUCAUCCAAUGACAAUAGCUCAUAAAAAUUCUAAUCAGCCAGAGGCUGGCUCGAACAGAGACCCGGUUAAAUGGAAAUUUAUUGCCCCAACUGGUAUUUGUUUACCCCGUCCUUUGUGCGUGCCCUGCCUCAUAAUCGAUGACCCCAUCGGUAUCCACAGCGGUCUUGUUAGCAAAAUCACCUGCAGUGCAGACGACCAACGGGCCAAGCGGGC